GCGGGCGUAGCUCAGUGGUAGAGCUUCUGCCUUCCAAGCAGAGUGUCGUGGGUUCGAAUCCCAUCGCCCGCUCCA
rnacentral:tRNA from 4 species